rnacentral:lncRNA from 1 species
CACAUUAUGCAGCAGGUCGUUUUCGUUCAGUCAGAUCGUACGGUAUUUGUGAUCGCUACACAGUGAAAUGAAAGUCACAGUGAUAGAGUAAAUACUGUUUUAAUAUUAUGUGAAAUACGUUUAAUAGUUGUAGAUUAUAAUUUUCUGUGUUUUCUGUUAAUUUUCUUUCCAAAAAGGAAUAAACGAACAUCAAUGCUGGAUUUGACAAAACAC